UCCUUGCUGAAUCAGUUUCUCUUCUGAAA
rnacentral:piRNA from 1 species